rnacentral:rRNA from 1 species
UGCAUGCGUCGUCAGCUCGUGUCGUGAGAUGUGGUUAAUUCCGCACGAGCGCACCCUCGCUGUUAGUUGCUACAUUCUGGGCACUCUAACAGACCGCCGGUGGUAAGCCGGAGGAAGGUGGGGAUGACGUCAAGUCCUCAUGGCCCUUACAGGGUGGGCUACACACGUGCUACAAUGGCGACUACAGAGGGCUGCAAUCCCGCGAGGGGGAGCCAAUCCCUAAAAGUCGUCUCAGUUCGGAUUGCACUCUGCAACUCGAGUGCAUGAAGUUGGAAUCGCUAGUAAUCGCGGAUCAGAUGCCGCGGUGAAUACGUUCCCGGGCCUUGAACACACCGCCCGUC